rnacentral:rRNA from 1 species
CCUACGGGAGGCAGCAGUGGGGAAUAUUGCACAAUGGGGGAAACCCUGAUGCAGCGACGCCGCGUGAGCGAUGAAGUAUUUCGGUAUGUAAAGCUCUAUCAGCAGGGAAGAAAAUGACGGUACCUGACUAAGAAGCCCCGGCUAACUACGUGCCAGCAGCCGCGGCAAUACGUAGGGGGCAAGCGUUAUCCGGAUUUACUGGGUGUAAAGGGAGCGUAGACGGUCCUGCAAGCCAGAUGUGAAAGCCCGGGGCUCAACCCCGGGACUGCAUUUGGAACUGUAAGGCUAGAGUGUCAGAGAGGCAGGCGGAAUUCGUAGUGUAGCGGUGAAAUGCGUAGAUAUUAGGAGGAACACCAGUGGCGAAGGCGGCCUGCUGGACGAUGACUGACGUUGAGGCUCGAAAGCGUGGGGAGCGAACAGGAUUAGAUACCCUAGUAGUC